UUUUUCUCCGUGGAAUCCAGCUAUACAUGAUGAAGCUAGAGAGAAGAUGUUGAGUCAAAAGAAGAAGCCAGAGGAUCAGCACUGCAAAAGCACGCAUGUUUCUGGCCUGUCAUGGGUAAAGCCUGGCUCAGUUCAGCCUUUCAGCAAAGAAGAGAAGACGAUGCCUACUUAGCCCUUCUGGACUAUGGUGCACAAAACACUUUCUGUGGGUGGAGGGAAUGUAAUGGAGGGAGAAACAGCAAAGCAGCAGUUUCCUUCUUCACUAUGGAUUAGUAGAAACUGAAUGGUAGCAGUGACUCCAGUAGACCUGUUCGGUGGAUUAUUGACUCUUAAUGUUUUACAUAUGCAUUAGGUUUUAAAGGCUUGCCUGGAGUUUGGAAGUCUCUCUUGAACACUGCAGUACUUCUACCUGACAACUGUCUAGGGUGGGUAAUUCCUCAGGGCUCUGAAAUGCCUGGAGGAUUUGGGUUGGUUUUUAAGCUUUUAUUUUUUCCCUCCAGGAAUAGCAAUGUUUUUUAAAAUCUUAAAUUACUGGCAGAAAUAUUAGCAUUGGAAAUAUGAUGCCAGAGGUAAGCUGUGUUCAUGUAAACUAAUAUAGCAGAGUUAAACACUAUAUUUAAUGGUUUUAAAUACUUCGGUUUCUAUUGUAAAUAUAUUAGGAUUUGAAAUUGUAAAUAGACGGUUCAUUGACUCCAUUUAGCACUUUCCAGAGGUAAAGCUGGGGAUAAUGUAUGAUGUAUUAUUGAUUUGUAAAUGGAUAUUGUCACUAAAGCGCACAUUAGUCUGACAGGGUGAAAGCAGAAUGUCAGGCUUGUUGGACUUUGUAAUUACAUAAACACUAAAAUCAAAGCUUUUAACGGUGGUCUCUUAAGCAAAUAAAAUCUUAGAGGAUUUUAGAUUCCCUAGGUGUCUAGGGGAUUAUGUAGUAUAGCUUGACUAAUGUGUGUUAAUAGUGACAUGUUAAAAUAAAAAGAAACCAUGAUCUA